UAGCGUGUCCAGAGGGACUGCCUGGAUUUACAAAGACAGAAAGCAAAUAUUAAAGCUAAAAGAUACUCCAGCUCACAGAAAGCUGCAUUUUUUAAGGCUGAUAU